rnacentral:tRNA from 2 species
GGCCCCAUCGUCUAGAGGCCUAGGACAGUAGGUUCUCAUCCUACAAACUCCGGUUCGAAUCCGGAUGGGGUCA